UAAGCUCAGUCAAAUAAACAAUGAUUUA
rnacentral:piRNA from 1 species